UGGUGGAGUGAUUUGUCUGGUUGAUUCCGAUAACGAACGAGACCUCCGCCUGCUAAAUAGUACUGCGAUUCCUGUAAUCGUUAGGACUUCUUAGAGGGACAAUGGAUUUCAAGUCCAUGGAAGUUGGAGGCAGUAACA
rnacentral:rRNA from 1 species